rnacentral:rRNA from 1 species
CCCUUAGAUGUUCUGGGCCGCACGCGCGCUACACUGAUGCAUUCAACGAGUUUCUUCCUGGUCCGAGAGGAAUGGGUAACCUUUUGAAAGUGCAUCGUGAUAGGGAUAGACUAUUGCAAUUAUUGGUCUUCAACGAGGAAUUCCUAGUAGACGUAGUUCAUCAGACUGCAUCGAUUACGUCCCUGCCCUUUGUACACACCGCCCGUCGCACCUACCGAUUGAAUGGUCCGGUGAAAUCUCCGGACUGGCGUGAGUCGGAGCAAUCUGACAAACACCGGAAAGUUGAUUAAACCUUACCAUUUAGAGGAAGGUGAAGUCGUAACA